CAUGAUAUACUUUUAAAUUUGAUUAUUGACUCAAACUUUUGCCCAACAAACUAUGGGCACAAAACUGAGAGAAAAAGAGAUACAGUUGAAAUGCAAUUCUGUUGUUGGUUCCUUUCACAUAUAGUUUGAACAACAAAAUGUUAUCAACAUGUACCUUUCUUGCAGUUUCGGGUAUAUUACAACUGAUAACAAGAAAGUGAGAACAUUAACAUGAUGAUGUCUGUAAUUUCCACUAAUCUACACAACUCUGCUUGCUCUAAUUGGAUUGUCAUAUAGAUUCUCUUGCCAGCUGAUUUUUUGGCUUUAUAUCACAUUUCCAAUGACUUCUAGGCUCUUAACUGUGCAACAAUGUCCUAACAGGUGCGGUGACUGGAUGUGUCGGCAAUUUCUGUGUUGUUGCAAACUGAUGGAUUAAAUCUUGAAUUCCCAUAAAUGCCACUAAGAACUCUGCUGCGUCAGUUUGGCUUAACACCUUCAUUGCCACCAAUUCCAAUGCCUUAAACCUGUGAUACAUUUACUGAUAUAUUUAUACACUAUGCAGUCUGUAGAACUCACAUUUCUGGUAGUAACUACAGUUACUAGUUUAUUUAUUCUGCCUACUAUAUAUAGAAAACAUAUGCAUUGGAAUGGCAUGCCCUUAUCAAAUGCAUGCAUAGAAAAUAUGGUAGCAUCUAUCUUUUAUACUGGUGUUAGAACAGAUACUUUUAAAUGUCAUAAGUGCUGCAUUCAGAUAGUCAUUUAGUUUGGUUCUAAAGGGGAAGAAAGUGGACCUGAGCUGUUGGGCCUUAGUGAUGACCUUCUCAAUCUUCUUGAACUCAGCUUGAAUGCAAGCCAAUCUAGUAGUACGUGAUGGAUACUUGUUGAAAGGAGCAAAGGGAAGGUGAAAGAUACAUGUGGCUUGAAUCUCAGCCAUUUCCUCAUCAAUUAUUACCUCCUCAACACGUAUUUCACUGAUAACCUGAGAGAGGAGCCUUUCCAUGUCAUUUGAAUCCUUUAAGGAUGAUGCCCAUAAUGUUGAUGGGAAGUGCACCAGGCCUUGGAGGAGGUCCAGAAUGGCAGAGGGCCGCCGCUCUCCAAGCCAGGCAAGGGCAGCUAAUUCAUUGGGUGGAGCCCAUUUAGGCAUGAGGAAUUGAGCGACAUCCUUUAGCCUGGUUGGGAUCAUGGCUCGGUUGUAAUUUGGAUGGAACCUAUUCAAUUGUUCAUCAAUUAACUGCUCAAAUUCCCCCCUUGCCUUGAGUUGUUUCUGCAGCCUUGCUGCUCGAGUCUUUUGUUCUUGUCUCCACAGACCAUACUUUGCCAAAGAAAGCUUUCCACCUCUUUUGCUUGUUUUUGGCCUGUGGAGGGUCAUGCACUGUACUUUAUGGGCCAUACCAUCCGUCUCAUUAUCUACAUCUUCUGUUUCUUCGUUCUCUUGCUCAUAGCCAUUCUUUUCACAUAUAGUUAGCAACUGAGGUAUCCAAAGUUUGUGUCUCCUUUCUUUUGCGCAUAUGAAUUGAUCAUGUCAUCAAGGCAGAGAUAAGGGGGAAAUAGUAGGGGGAAAAGAAACUGGGAUCUUUCCAACUUUCUGGGAUAUGCAAAGUUAAUUUCAAUGCAUUUUCUUUUCUUUGGGUAAUUUUCUUUCCUCGGAUAUAAGUCUGCAUUUUUUGCAUGUUUAUCACGAAGAAGGAGAUGGAACUUACGAGAGGGUUUGUGCUACUGUCCUUUUCAUUGCUCUUUCUAGGUUGAUUAUUCGUUCGUGAUUUUCAUCUUCUUCUCCUUCUCUGCUUUGCAAACCCUCAAGAGUAGUUGGGAAGUGGGAGACCAUAAUUCACAAGGCAUAUCCGGGCUACUUUGGUAAUUUUAAAAGGUCAGCCUUCGAUUUUGGGCCUAUCUGCGGUGUGGUCGAUCGGUUGAGUGGGA
rnacentral:misc_RNA from 1 species